rnacentral:rRNA from 1 species
ACCACAACAGGUGGAGCCUGCGGUUUAAUCGGACUCAACGCCGGGAAACUCACCAGAUAGGACAGCUGAAUGAUAGUCGGGCUGAAGACUCUACUUGACUAGCUGAGAGGAGGUGCAUGGCCGUCGUCAGCUCGUACUGUGAAGCAUCCUGUUAAGUCAGGCAACGAGCGAGACCCACGCCAACAGUUGCCAGCUCGUCCUCCGGGAUGGUGGGGACACUGUUGGGACCGCCUCUGCUAAAGAGGAGGAAGGAAUGGGCAACGGUAGGUCAGCAUGCCCCGAAUUAUCUGGGCUACACGCGGGCUACAAUGGGUGGGACAAUGGGUAUCGACACCGAAAGGUGAAGGCAAUCUCCUAAACCCAUCCGUAGUUCGGAUUGUGGGCUGCAACUCGCCCACAUGAAGCUGGAAUCUGUAGUAAUCGUGUCUCAAAAUGGCACGGUGAAUAUGUCCCUGCUCCUU